rnacentral:rRNA from 1 species
UACGUAGGUGGCAAGCGUUGUCCGGAUUUAUUGGGUUUAAAGGGUGCGUAGGCGGUUUGGUAAGUCUUAUGUGAAAUCUACAGGCUCAACUUGUAGUCUGCAUGAGAAACUGCCGGGCUUGAGUAUGGGAGAGGUGAGUGGAAUUCCUGGUGUAGCGGUGAAAUGCGUAGAUAUCAGGAGGAACACCUGUGGCGAAAGCGGCUCACUGGACCAUAACUGACGCUGAUGCACGAAAGCUAGGGGAGCAAACAGG